rnacentral:ncRNA from 1 species
GAGAGCUAACUGCAUUGAAAGGUGCAUGGUUGGUUCGGGAAGGGGCGGUUGGAAACGUGCCGAGAGGUAACGCGCUGGCCGCCUACUUCAC